rnacentral:rRNA from 1 species
AACGAACGCUGGCGGCGUGGUUAAGACAUGCAAGUCGUACGAUUGCGUUGUAGCAAUAUGGCGCAAUAGUGGCGGACGGGUGAGUAAUACAUGGGUAAUGUACCUUGGGCACAGGAUAGCGUCGGGUCCCGCAAGGGAUCCUUUGCGAAAGUGACGGUAAUACCUGAUGAAGCCAUUAAGGGGCAUCUUUUGACGGCCAAAGGGUGGGGACCGCAAGGCCUACCGGCCUGGGAGCAGCCCAUGACCUAUCAGCUAGUUGGUGAGGUAACGGCCCACCAAGGC